CCUACGGGAGGCAGCAGUGGGGAAUAUUGGACAAUGGGCGAAAGCCUGAUCCAGCCAUGCCGCGUGUGUGAAGAAGGCCUUCGGGUUGUAAAGCACUUUCAGUGGGGAAGAAAGCCUUGGGGCUAAUACCCUCGAGGAAGGACAUCACCCACAGAAGAAGCACUGGCUAACUCCGUGCCAGCAGCCGCGGUAAUACGGAGGGUGCGAGCGUUAAUCGGAAUUACUGGGCGUAAAGCGCGCGUAGGCGGUCUGAUAAGCCGGUUGUGAAAGCCCCGGGCUCAACCUGGGAACGGCAUCCGGAACUGUCAGGCUAGAGUGCAGGAGAGGAAGGUAGAAUUCCCGGUGUAGCAGUGAAAUGCGUAGAGAUCGGGAGGAAUACCAGUGGCGAAGGCGGCCUUCUGGACUGACACUGACGCUGAGGUGCGAAAGCGUGGGUAGCAAACAGGAUUAGAUACCCUGGUAGUC
rnacentral:rRNA from 1 species